rnacentral:rRNA from 1 species
UACGAAGGGGGCUAGCGUUGCUCGGAAUUACUGGGCGUAAAGCGUGCGCAGGCGGUUAUGCAAGACAGAGGUGAAAUCCCCGGGCUCAACCUGGGAACUGCCUUUGUGACUGCAUAGCUAGAGUACGGUAGAGGGGGAUGGAAUUCCGCGUGUAGCAGUGAAAUGCGUAGAUAUGCGGAGGAACACCGAUGGCGAAGGCAAUCCCCUGGACCUGUACUGACGCUCAUGCACGAAAGCGUGGGGAGCAAACAGG